UUCGGAGUAUAAGCCGAGUGGCGAAAGGGUGAGUAAAGCAUAGAUGACAUGCCUUUAGGAUAAGGAUAGCUUUGUGAAAACGGAGUUAAUGCUUAAUAAUUACGAAGAGAAAUCAAUUUCCUUCGUCAAAGGGGGGUAGCAAUACCUUUUGCCUAAAGAGUGGUUUAUGUCCUAUCAGCUAGUUGGUGAGGUAACGGCUUACCAAGGCGACGAUGCGUAGCCGACCUGAGAGGGUGAUCGGCCACACUGGGACUGAGACACGGCCCAGACUCCUACGGGAGGCAGCAGUAGGGAAUCUUUCGCAUGUCCGAAAGGAG
rnacentral:rRNA from 1 species